GCCUCCAUAGCUCAGUGGUAAGAGCAGUGCACCGGCAAUCGCACAGGCGUAGGUUUGAUUCCUGCUGGAGGAC